AUUAUCUAAGUGAGUUAGCCUCUGACUAACCGGUUUAUCCUGAAGACAGACCUUGUUAAGAACAGUGCUCAUUGUAUUUCAGAAUGGUUACAUUUCCUCUGCCACUGCUGGAAACAUAAGGGCAUUUUCCUCCAAUAUUUACUGUGAGAACCUUGUCAGUCUCCAGACUCACAAAAGUGUGGGGCUAUCCCUUUUGACUGG
rnacentral:lncRNA from 10 species